CAGAUGUGUGCUCUUUCAAAAUAGUGGGAUGACUUCUAGGUAUAGGCAAAAAGCCUAAUGAGCUUGGUGAUAGCUGGUUACUCAAUAAUGAAUUUUAGUUCAACUUUAAGUUUACCAUAAGAACAUAAAUCCAAAUGUAAACUUAAAAUAUAGCCUAAAGAGGGACAGGUCUUUAGGAAUGGAAAUAACUUUUAAUAGUGAAUAAGCCUCAUACAUUAAAACCAUUGUUGGCUUAAAAGCAGCCACCAAUAAAGAAAGUAUUCAAGUUCAACAUU